rnacentral:siRNA from 1 species
UCGACAAUGAUCCUUCCGCAG